AUGGGAAGACGCGAGGGAGCGAGAGAGAGGGAAAGGCGGCGAGCGGAUACCGGCGCAGCCUGUCUGUGCCUCUGCUUCGGAAAGUGACUAAUGACUAGCCGGCCAGACCUACUCUUCUGCCACCCAACGAGAGAGAGAACGAGGGAGCGCGCGCCGCGCCGGGAGAGAACAGAUACCGUAGAGGGAGCUCGUGCCUCGAUCUCCACCCGCUCGAGAUCGUCCCGAGGGAUAAGCGAGGGCAAGCAAAGGCUGUUGCCCGAUUCCGAAAGGAGUUAGCCUUUGGUGACAGGAAGCGGAGGAGAUCGGUCACCGCGCGCGGAAGCCUGUCCGCUUCCGAUCGGGGACAAGUCGGUCUCAGCUAUUCCAACGAAGUAUUCCUCGCACACGGACGAAAGAAAGAGACGGAGAUGGAGGGAAGGAGGAGGAGAGGGAGGAGGAAGGAGGAGGAGGAGGAGGAGGGAGAGGGGGGCGAUGAGCGCAGUCGCCGAGUCUGCGAAGUUGCCUUAAUCUCGAUCCGCCUGUCUCUCUCCAUCCCCCUCCCUCUCUCUAUCUUUCCGCCUCUAUCUUCCCCUCCCGCCACCUCUCCCCCCCUCGUCACUGGGAACGACAGACUUUGAGGGUGACUUUGAACGAGAUAGAGAGUUCGAGAAACGAGAAAACGAAGCGUGGAAGCGGAGAAGAACCCGUGGGCUCGUCCGUAAUCCGGGUAAAGAAAGAAGCUGGCUAGAGGUAGUGGAGGCGACAUCGUGGAGGACGGGUAGGAAAACGAUGAAAGAGAGAAGAGAGAGGAGAGGGACGGGAGAGGAGAAUACCUGAGCACAAAGGCACUCGACAUGGCGAAAUACAGGAGAGUCGUCCAGAGAGAGAGAGAGGGAGAGAGAGGGAGAGGGAGAAGGUGGACCCGCAUCACGCGAGGUUCACGCUCAAAGCAUCGGCUUUGGGACUCUUGGAAAUUCGUGCAUUCGUUUUGAGUUACGAUUAUACGAUCGUAAUGUUGAUGAUAUAUAUAUAUAUAUGUUGUAAUAUAUUCUGAUAAUA